UACAGAGGGCGCGAGCGUUGUCCGGAAUCAUUGGGCGUAAAGCGCGCGUAGGCGGCCCCGGUAAGUCCGUUGUGAAAGUCAAAGGCUCAACCUUUGAACGCCGAUGGAUACUGCCGGGCUAGAGUCCGGAAGAGGCGAGUGGAAUUCCUGGUGUAGCGGUGGAAUGCGCAGAUAUCAGGAGGAACACCAAUUGCGAAGGCAGCUCGCUGGGACGUUACUGACGCUGAGACGCGAAAGCGUGGGGAGCAAACAGG
rnacentral:rRNA from 1 species